rnacentral:rRNA from 1 species
UACGGGGGGAGCAAGCGUUGUUCGGAUUUACUGGGCGUAAAGGGCGCGUAGGCGGCGCGACAAGUCACUUGUGAAAUCUCCGGGCUUAACUCGGAGCGGCCAAGUGAUACUGUCGUGCUAGAGUGCGGAAGGGGCAACUGGAAUUCUCGGUGUAGCGGUGAAAUGCGUAGAUAUCGAGAGGAACACCGGUGGCGAAGGCGGCGAUCUGGACGAUGACUGACGCUGAGACGCGAAAGCGUGGGGAGCAAACAGG